GAUCCUGGCUCAGGAUGAACGCUAGCGGCAGGCCUAACACAUGCAAGUCGAGGGGUAGUUACUUUCGGGUAAUGAGACCGGCGCACGGGUGCGUAACGCGUAUGCAACCUACCCUGUACUGGGGGUAUAGCCCGAAGAAAUUCGGAUUAAUCCCCCAUAGUAUAUUUCAAUCGCAUGAUUGGACUAUUAAAGGUUACGGUACAUGAUGGGCAUGCGUCCCAUUAGCUAGAUGGUGAGGUAACGGCUCACCAUGGCGACGAUGGGUAGGGGGCCUGAGAGGGUGGUCCCCCACACUGGUACUGAGACACGGACCAGACUCCUACGGGAGGCAGCAGUGAGGAAUAUUGGUCAAUGGGCGCAAGCCUGAACCAGCCAUGCCGCGUGCAGGAAGACGGUCCUAUGGAUUGUAAACUGCUUUUAUUUGGGAAUAAACCUAUCUACGUGUAGAUAGCUGAAGGUACCAAAUGAAUAAGCACCGGCUAACUCCGUG
rnacentral:rRNA from 1 species